rnacentral:lncRNA from 1 species
ACCCCGCCCCUCCCUUGCUUAGUCGCUCGGCUGGCCCGGCUCACCUUCGGGGUGAAGGCUACCAGCGAGCGUUAUAGCAGACGACUUUAAUAAAUGCAGGCGGCAGCAGGAACUCUGGGAACUUGGGUGCCCUUGCCUGGCAGUAAGGGUUGAAUUAUCCGGAUCUGAAAUACUUUACAGAGCCGAGGGGUGAUAGGCUCUGCAAAAGCACUUUUUGCCCCUCUCCUUUAUGCCAAUACUCGCUGACUGUGCACACAAGUCAUAUUCAGUAUUAAAUACAAACCGGUCUGUAAUUCAAUGGCUCUAGCAAGACGCCUCUGAGAGGGCCAGGUGGCGGGUGCAAGUUGCUCAUUAACCCUUUAGAGUCGCAGUUUGCAGAUCUGAGUUAGAUCCCCGGCUUUGAGGUCCUUCAGUUGCCCUCCUCCCCCACCUCCCCCCGCCACUGCGAGAAAAAUGUGCAAAGAGAAGGAAAUUUGCACAUCAAACGAGGGGCAAUCGCGGCGGUAGAUGAACUUGAUUAGGCAGACGCGUGAGAUCAAAGUGGCCGGGACCAAAGCGGACAGGGUCCAACGUGCCAGCACUGCCAAGAGAAGGCCUUUUGUACUCAGGUUAAAUAAGAACAUCCUGCAAGGAGUCUGUUCUUUUAUGCAGCCUAAAGAUCAAGUAAUAAUCAUUGACACUGAUACUGAGCAUGUCGAUUUUGAAGAGACUAGCAUUUCCUGGUAAUGAAGUGGAGUAUAUAUCCAUAUAUUUCUGUUUUCUGGAUGAGAAGACUAACCUAACUAAGUAGGAACCUUGAAGAAUCAUGUUCUUCCUAGGAAUUACAAAUCCCCCGAUUCCAUGUCUAACAUAAUUUCUACUGGCCUCUUUGCUUCUCAUGCUUUAGUACCAGUGCUUCUGAAUUUGAAAGUCUUCAUGCAAAUUGCCCAGGUCUGUUGAAAACUUGCCUCGUAAAUGAUUUGCAUAUACAAGAACUCGGAAAAAGCAUCCUGUUUUGUUGAGAGGUGCACCAAGUGACUUUUUCAUCAUUGGUUUCAUAACGAGUUUGCUGGCAGCUGUGUCUCAGAAAAAGCUGUCUUCAGCAAGGCAGAAGCAGACCAGGGUGGUCCAGAGUUGGUGACUAUUAUGGCAUGGCUACCCAGGGCCAGAGAGGUGAGGUUUAAUGAGAAAGAAGAUAGAUGAAAAUGACUCCUCCUCCUGCUUUCACUGCUGCAGCAACUCAGGCCUGCAGACAAGAUCCAGCUCUAUUGCCCAAGCUGGAGUGCAGUGGUGAGAUAAUGAUUCACUGCAGCCUUGAUCUCCUGGGCUCAAGCAGUUCUCCUGCCUCAGCCUCCUGAGUAGCUGGGACCACAGGCACCCUCCACCAUGUCUGGCCAAAAUUUUUUGAAUUUUUUGUAGAGACCAGGUUUCACCAUGUUGCCCAGGCUGAUUUCAAAUUCCUGGGCUCAAGUGAUCUUCCUGCCUCAGCCUCUCAAAGUGCUGAGAUUACAAGUGUGAGCCACCACACCCAGCCAAAAUAUAAAUACGCCUUUAAUAGUAACACCUAAUUACCUAACACCAUCAAAAAUGGGGUGCUCCAUGAAGAAGCACAUAAUUCAAAUUAUUGAAGUUUAUCCCUUCUAAUGACCACAUAGAUUUCUCUUGCCCCAUUAAAAAAUUAGAUAAUCAGUAUUUCUAGGAUAGUUGUUUUCUUCCAACCAAUUAAGGCAUAAUCUAUGUAGCAGAACAUUCAGAGGAUGAUGCCUGGUCAACAUUUGAAUAAACAAUCACUGUGAUGUUACCUCUAUUUAAGAUGACUCCAAUAAAACUUCUAUGGUUUGCAUUAUUAGUUGAUCAGACUUUAAGCAUUAUCUUUUGAUAGGGUCAAGGAACCUGUCUUAACUCCCCAUCUCUGACCAAAAUAUACUUGUUUUCUAUAAGCUAUAAAGCCAGAUAGCCAAUUUUAUGAGAAUUGUCCCUAUACUAUAUCCAUGUGAGCGAUGAGUGCCUGGCAUGAAGAUGCAUAAAGGAGGCAGUAAUAUACAACAACUGAAGCAUAACCUCUGGAGCCAGUCUUCUUCAGACAAAUCCCAAUUCCAUUACUCACUGGCCACCUAAACAAGCUACUUAAUUCAUCUGCCUCAGUUUUCUUCAACUGUUUAAUGGGUAUGAUCAACAAACCAACUUCAGUGGGUUAUCAUAAAUAUUAAUAAAUGAGAGAAUGCAUGUGAAACAAAGCUAUAAGCAAUCAUUAGUAAUAAUAAUAAAAGAUGAUCAUUAUUUUUCAUGGAGUUUUUGCUAGUGCCAUGUACUGUUUUGUUAAUACUAAUUGCCUGAUUUUCUGUCCAUGAAUUUUUGGCUGAUCUAAGUUUCCACUUCCCUCACCCCUUGGCUGGGAUCUAGGUAUGAGAGUUGCUUGGCAAGCAAACUAGAGAUAAGUAAGGUGUUACUAUAUAAAGUUAAUGUAGGCACAUAUGAAUAUCCAAACAUGCCAUAAUGUUGGGGUUUGACCCUUUCCCUAAUACUCAGUUUCUUCAUUUGAAAUGUUCUAAUUGGUGUUUUUAUGUUGG